GGUCCGUCACACAAGGCAUACCUAGGAUCAACCUCGGCACUUUGCCUACCUCAAGCAGGGUGACUUCAUCUAGGCACAUAAACGCGAGCAUUGCGCGCACCUUGCUUAUGAACCAAGGCACAAAAAAGUGCCUUUAUGAUUGUUUGUUUUGACUGUGGAUUGUAGCAAAUAUAUUGUGUAUAUGAUGAUUGUUUUGUUUGUAUAACUAUUUUGUGUGCUUGUAUUUUCAAUUUUAUAUCUUUUUGUUGGGUGUGGCUGAAAUUUUUUAUUAUGUUCAUAUGCAGAUUUUCAUGUUGUAUUGGAUUUUGUUAUUGUGCAAGUGUGUUGUGUUUACAUUUUUGUCACUAUGUGCGUAUGUGGCUGAAGUUAUUUAUUGUGUGUGGAUUUUGUGAUGUGUUUGUUUAUGUUGUUUUUAUUGUCAAAUAUGUCUAAGUCAUGAAUUUGUUAUGUUCAUGUACAUACAUACUUAUGUGUAUACAUGUAUGUAGACAUGCACAAACACCUAGUUUAUUAAUAUAUUUGUAUAAAUGCUAGUUUAUAUGAGAAUUGGCAACUUGCAGAAAAUAAGCAUACCAGAUUUCUUAAAGAUUCUUUUCAAGGUACAAUGUUUAUUAAGGAAAGUGGAAGGAUUUUGAGUCCAAAUAUGCAUUUGGGCUCC
rnacentral:lncRNA from 1 species